GAUGAACGCUGGCGGCGUGCCUAAUACAUGCAAGUCGAGCGAACAGACGAGGAGCUUGCUCCUCUGACGUUAGCGGCGGACGGGUGAGUAACACGUGGAUAACCUACCUAUAAGACUGGGAUAACUUCGGGAAACCGGAGCUAAUACCGGAUAAUAUAUUGAACCGCAUGGUUCAAUAGUGAAAGACGGUUUUGCUGUCACUUAUAGAUGGAUCCGCGCCGCAUUAGCUAGUUGGUAAGGUAACGGCUUACCAAGGCUACGAUGCGUAGCCGACCUGAGAGGGUGAUCGGCCACACUGGAACUGGGACACGGUCCAGACUCCUACGGGAGGCAGCAGUAGGGAAUCUUCCGCAAUGGGCGAAAGCUUGACGGAGCAACGCCGCGUGAGUGAUGAAGGUCUUCGGAUCGUAAAACUCUGUUAUUAGGGAAGAACAAAUGUGUAAGUAACUAUGCACGUCUUGACGGUACCUAAUCAGAAAGCCACGGCUAACUACGUG
rnacentral:rRNA from 1 species